rnacentral:rRNA from 3 species
UUAAAUUGAAGAGUUUGAUCAUGGCUCAGAUUGAACGCUGGCGGCAGGCCUAACACAUGCAAGUCGAACGGUAACAGGAAGCAGCUUGCUGCUUUGCUGACGAGUGGCGGACGGGUGAGUAAUGUCUGGGAAACUGCCUGAUGGAGGGGGAUAACUACUGGAAACGGUGGCUAAUACCGCAUAACGUCGCAAGACCAAAGAGGGGGACCUUCGGGCCUCUUGCCAUCAGAUGUGCCCAGAUGGGAUUAGCUUGUUGGUGAGGUAACGGCUCACCAAGGCGACGAUCCCUAGCUGGUCUGAGAGGAUGACCAGCCACACUGGAACUGAGACACGGUCCAGACUCCUACGGGAG